GAGUACGGCCGCAAGGCUGAAACUUAAAGGAAUUGGCGGGGGAGCACUACAACGGGUGGAGCCUGCGGUUUAAUUGGACUCAACGCCGGAAAACUCACCGGGGGCGACAGCAAUAUGUAGGUCAGGUUAAAGGUCUUACCUGAAUCGCUGAGAGGAGGUGCAUGGCCGUCGUCAGUUCGUACUGUGAAGCAUCCUGUUAAGUCAGGCAACGAGCAAGACCCGUGCCCACUGUUACCAGCAUAUCCUUUAUGGAUGAUGGGGACUCUGUGGGGACCGCUGCUGCUAAAGCAGAGGAAGGUGCGGGCUACGGUAGGUCAGUAUGCCCCGAAUCUCCCGGGCUACACGCGGGCUACAAUGGUUGGGACAAUGGGUAUCUACUCCGAAAGGAGUUGGCAAUCUCUUAAACCCAAUCGUAGUUCGAAUUGAGGGCUGUAACUCGCCCUCAUGAAGCUGGAAUCCGUAGUAAUCGCGUUUCAACAUAGCGCGGUGAAUCUGUCCCUGCUCCUUGCACACACCGCCCGUCAAACCAUCCGAGUGAGGUAUGGGUGAGGGCACGAACUUAGUGUCGUGCUCGAACCUAGAUUUCGCAAGGAGGGUUAAGUCGUAACAAGGUAGCCGUAGGGGAAUCUGCGGCUGGAUCACCUCCU
rnacentral:rRNA from 1 species